GGGGGAGCACAGGAUCCAGGGUUGUGUCCCCCGGCUACCUGGCCUCCGGGGCCUGCGCUGCUGGAAUCGUGAUCCCCGGCCACACAGGCCCCU
rnacentral:pre_miRNA from 1 species